AUAAAAUAUAAUAUAUAAUAUAUAGCCAAUGCCUUCUUUAAAUUGAUUUAUAUCUAUGUAGCAGAUAAAAUGGCAAAUUAACUUUCUUUUGUUGAAAGAUAUUCAAACUAUAACACUUAAAAAAAUUAUAAAAAUUUAUCCCAUCAUUGAACAGCCUAAGAAAAUAUAAAAGCAAGAUGUUCCUUGUGAAGAGAGUGAUGGGUUUAAUGAGGAUCUUGAUGGACAAGCCUGACUUUCCAAAUGAUUCUAAAACUAGUUCUGAAGAAACCUCUUGAGCCAAGAUUACUUGUUAUUUAUAAAAAUAAACAAUAAAGCAAAAUAUUCUAGUAAUUAUCCUUAAAUUCUGCAUGAUUGGUUUUUAGAUGUUACCAUAGGAAUAGUUUUAUGUGGUUGUUGAUUUAGAUUUUCCAGCAUAAGACACAACAUAAUUUGAUGCCCAUUUACGUUUCUACAAUAAACAAAACCCACACACUUUAAGUAAGCAUUAAGGCUGGAGUGCAAUGGCGCGAUCUCGGCUCACUGCAGCCUCCACCUCCCAGGUUCAAGCAAUUCUCCUGCCUCAGCCUCCCGAAUAACUGGGAUUACAGAUGUGUGCCACCACACCCAGCUGAUUUUUGUAUACUGGAAGAUUAUAAGGGAAAAGUGGAAGCUAUCACAGACUAAAUGGUAUCCUGUAUUGCUUCAUUAUGCCUUGAAUAGUCAAGCUGAAAGUUUCCUGAUAUAACCAACCUUUCAAGUUCCCAGUUAAAAACGCAAUUUUAAAAAAUCAUGAUGCUUUAAAAAGACAGACUAAAGUGGUACUGAAUGAGUUUUAAAGUGUUUGCUAUUUCUUCAUGUUUAUGUGCAUGCAUUUUAAAAAUGUGAACAUUUAAAACUUAUUUUUAUCCAAAUCUCCAUGUAAAACUGAAGUUCCACAAAGAUAUGUCAUUUUUAUCCCAUGACUUCAUACUUUCGUCUUUUCCCUCAGGGAACGCGUAGGGCAGCAUCAAAAGUCAUUCACAGUGAGCUCCUUCCUGACUUGACAAUUCCCUUGCUUUCCUUCCCUGACUCUUCCCUUCAUAGAUGUUGCACCAAACUCUUUUAAUGUUUUCCUCACAUGGCCUUUAAACCAAACUUUCUCUUGCAUAUACAGUCAGCCCCCCUUACCCAGGGUUUCCGGUUUCCACAUCCAUAGAUUCAACCAACCACGGAUGAAAAAUAUUCAGAAAAACCGAUGUGAGAGAGAUCUCGCUGUGACAUCUGUCAUCCUACUGACGGCCAGGGUUGAUUCGGCUGAUCUGGCUCGCUAAGCAAGUGUCCCUUCCUCCCUCAUUGCUCCAUUUACGUCCCUCCUGAAGGUGUACAUUUGGUUGAAAGGACGACUAUCCACGACAGAGGACCGGCCUUUGGUCAAGGGUAUACGAGUAGCAGCACUCCCCUGCUAGAACCUCCAAAGAAGCUCUCAAAAAUAUUCAGGAAAAGAAAGUUAAAAAAAAAAAAAAAAAAAAAAAAAAACAAGAAUAAAAAAUAAUAAAAAUGUAAAAAAUAAUAAAAAUGUAAAAAAUAAUACAGUGUAAAAACUAUUCAUAUAGCAUUUACCUUGCAUUAGGUAUUAUAAGUAAUCUAGAGAUGAUUUAACAUAUAUGGGAGAAUUGUGUAGGUUAUAUGCAAAUACUAUACUAUAUUUUAUAAAGGGACUUGGGCAUCCAAGGAUUUUGAUAUCUGUGAAGGUCCUGGAACUAACCUCCCACUGAGGGACCAUUGCAUUGUUAUCUCUGCCUGGAACUCCAUCCCUCCCUCUUCUCUCCUAGCAAACUCAUACUUUUAAACAAUUCAAAGAUCUAAAACUCUGGGCCGGGCACGGUGGCUCACUCCUGUAAUCCCAGCACUUUGGGAGGCUGAGGUGGGUGAUCACGAGGUCAGGAGAUCGAGACCAUCCUGGCUAACACGGUGAAAUCCCGCCUGUACUAAAAAUAUCAGCUGGGCGUGGUCGCCGGCACCUGCAGUCCCAGCUACUCGGGAGGCUGAGGCAGGAGAAUCACUUGAACCUGGGAGGCAGAGGUUGCAGUGAGCCGAGAUCGUGCCACUACACUCCAGCCUAGGCGACCAAGUGAGACUGUCUCAAAGAAAAGAAAAGAAAAGAAAAAUCUAAAACUCCAUAAAGUCUUCUCCAAACCUGGGAUCCUGUGUACCUCUAUAAUGUACACUUUAAUGUAUCUGCUCGCAGACUUCCCUUCCUACUAGGCUCCUUGAGGGCAAGGAGAGCGCCCUAUUCAUUUUCUAUCACAGGAAUCUAACACAGUGAUUUCUAUGUACUAGAUGCUCACUAAAUUAUAGUUAAGUGAUCAUGAAAUACUGUAUUUGUCAUUUGUCUUUAAUAAUGGAUUUUUUAAACAAUAUAGAUUAUUUAAAAUGCCUACUAAUCACUUAAACUCAGAAAGUUAGAGACUAAUAAAGACCAAGUAAAUUGAGUAAGUGACAGAUUCUAUUACAAGUAUGUGCCUAAGAAGCCAGGAUCAUAAGGAAUUGAUUAAAGCCUCACUGUCUUGGUCUUAAUACUGGGUUAUCAAAUGUCAUUGAUCUCUGUCUCCUGGAGACAUUUAUUCAUAGGACAAACUUUCAUUUUUUUUCUGAAAGCUGUAGAUAUAAUUCUAACGAAGCAUAAAGAAAAGAAAUAAAAUUAUCCUUCUUGUGUUUGUAAGCCUGUAAACAAUAAGUGAUUCUGAAUUCCAAAGCAUACUGACAGAAGGUUGGGGGUUUUGUUCUCAGUAGAAGAACAUUAUAGCAAGAACAGUAACGUAUUGGCUUUUACUCUCAACAUAUCUAACAUGAAAGUAUUAUUUAUGGUUGCUUCCAACUUACUUUAUCAUGACAUGGAAUGAAAAUUCUUCUAUUUAAUAAAUCAAUGCACUGGCUGCAAUCAUGCUCAGUACAAUUCCUAACAGGUCUUCUCAUUGUUACUUCAAAUGAUUUCUCAAUUUCCCAGCUCUCAAUAAAUAAUCCUAUGUCUUCCAUAUUUGUAAUAAUUGUGCCAUUUUGCAUCCUUAGAUCAUCAUCCGGAUCUUCAUUGCAAAUUCCUUGAAAGAAUAUAUGACAGUUAGAAGAAAAAAACUUAAACUAAUGUAGACAGCACAACUAAAUCAGUUAAAUAAUUGAUUUUAAAUGAACAAAUGAUUUACCAUAUAAGGUACCAAGUUUAUGUAUCCUUGAACUUUUACAUUGAAAUAACUUUUUAAAUUAUGUUCUAAUUUUUUGAUAAAAUAGUGUAGAACUAACUGCCUUAACCCAGUAAGAAAGAAAUCAAAAGCCUAGAAGUCAAGAUACAUGAAGAGAUCAGAGAAGAUUAAGAAAGAAGACAUUAAUUCUGUUCCUAUACUCUUCCAUUACUACCACCAUCUUCUAACUUAGUAACUAGUGGCCUGGCAAGGUACUUUCCACAGUAAUGGACAUUUGGUGACUGGCUCCCAGGCUUCCACUUCCCUGUGAAAACUCUGCCUGAAAAUAUUAAAUAUUUUUCUUUCAGGAACUAUCACUACUCCAUCACCUAGUGCAUGACAUCAUUCCAGGUGAGGGCUCUGAUUGGCAUAAAGGUAAUCUUCAUUCCCUUGCAUUAGCAACUGUUCCAGGUAAUCCAGGCAUAAACCAGCAAGCAUGUAGCAGUCACCUAGGCACAUGAAUUUAUUCAACAUAGGGACAACUAUUGUCAAGCUCAAGACUUGAACUGGGAAUUCUAGGACACAGGCAAUUUCCCUUCCUUGGGAUGCCUUGACCUGCUGCAGCCUCUAUUUACCUUGAGAAAAGCCAAACUGAGGAUGAGCUUACUCUUCACCAAAUGCAGUGCAGAGCCAAGGAAAGUAAUGAGACCAGGCCUACAAUCAUACCUUACCCAAAUCCCACCCGACUUUAAGACAUAUUUUUUCUUAAUUCCCAAGACUCUGGGCUAUAAAAUAUAUGAAUAAAAAUUUUCUUCAAACAUCAAAUCUUAAUUCCCAAGGAGAUAUAUCAGGAUGAAUAAAGGUUGCAAUGCCUCACCUUUGUAAAUACACAGGGUACUACGUGCAAUUAAACAUUAAAAAAAAAAAAAAAAACCUAAGUGGACUACAUUGUAAAGGAGCUACUAUUUUUUAAGUCUAAACUUUUCUAGAGAAAGGUAAUUUCUAGUAAAAAUAUGUUUGCACUGCAACUUCAGUCACCACUCCAGACUUCAUAGUGCUGUGUAGAAUAAGAUGUCAAUAUAAGCCUCUCAUUCCAGUGUUCAGACCCUGUUUGGAUAACAGUCUUACUCACUAGAAGCUUUUCAGCCAGCACCUAGUCUAGUGAUCCUGACAGUACCCAGAUUUCCCUUUAAUGAAGUAUACUUCUCUCAUUGUGGAGGUCAAGGAAUUUAGGGCAUGAGCCCUGGUUAGCAUAAAGGUGAUCCUAGCCCUCUCUCUGCAGCGCUUAGUUAAGAAUCCAGCUAGCAGAGUGGCUGUCUACAUGAAAGCAAGAGCUAAUAGUAGAGAAGGAUAAAAAACAUAAAAAUAAAACUGAAAUAAUACCCUUCAAAAGUGAUAAGUUAUAGGAGAAAAUAUGCAUUUCCAGUCUCAGUUAUUACUCAAUAAUAACUAUUGAUUUAGUACAUAUACUCAAUAAUGCCUAUUUCCAAAUCAUAACCUUAAGUCACCAUAGAAAUUUAUGCUAUGUUUAGCAUACUCUAAACAAGUGAGGAACCAUGAAAACCAUUUUAGCAAAAAUUUCCAAAAAUGUUCAAAUUUUUAAACAGGAAAUUUGGAUAUUUUGUGUAAUUUAUUGAGGGCAAGGACUUAGCCACUCAUUUUUGAGUUGUCAGCCUCAAGCAUAAUGUCAGACACACAAUAGGUGAUCCAUAAACUUUUAUUUAAUUAAUAUUUACUGAGAUUAAAAAUAGAUAUAUUUGUACUAAACCAACAUUUAUUGACUGUGUGUAUUUAUGUGUUGUGUUUACAUUAACUUUCACAUGUAAUCCAAACAAUCUUGAAAAUGGAUAUUACUGUCCACUUUUAAAGAUGAGGAAACUGACAUUCUCUUCAGAGCACACAACUGUAAAGAGAAUAACCUGUGUUCAAAUUUCUAGCAGACACCAGAGCCAGUAUUCUUUUUAUUUCAUUAUGUACCUACAGAUAUUUCUAAUUUGUUUUCUUUGACUUAAAACUCUUCAUAUAUCUGUGUAAUACAUUGCAAUAUUAAACCUAGAUGUAAUGGUAUAUCUAAGCUUUACAUUUCAUAAUAAAACUAGGACAAAUAUCCUGAAUGGUAUGUUCUUUCAAGAUGACUUAAACAAGUUUUCCCUGAUUUCAAGCUUUUAAAAAAAUUAAGAGGAAACAAAGAUAUGUAAGCCUUUAAACUUUCUAUGCCUCAUUUGUAUCACUUAUAAAUUGAGAUAACACUAUUAUCUACUUACUAGAUCUUAAAAUUAAGUGAAUUAAAAUGUGUAAAAUAAUGCCUGAUGCUUCAUUAAUGCCUAAUAAAGAUGAGCUAGUGGAAAUACAAACAGCAUCGUAGUAACAGCAGUAAGCAUAUAUUUUCAUAAAAUACCCAAAUUGAAGUGUUAUUUCCUGCUUCUUAGCACAUUUAUGGAAAAAUCAUUGCUUCCUUCCGUAUUUACAUGGGAACUGAAAGUUAAUAUCACAUCUCAAAUCUGAAAAAUGGGGCAACAGGGUCCAAAAUGGCAUAGCGUGAAUAGAAAAAAAAAAAAAAAAAAAAAAAAACAGACGAAAUCAAGAUUUGAAGGGCAGCGCUCACCACAGAGUCCUUCUGUGUAGGAUGACAAGUUAAAUCGGAAGCCAAAAUGAAUGUCUAUGAUUCCUGUAAGAUGAGACCACUUUAUGAUUAGUCCAGCUGGAGUAGUAAUUACAUACAUUGAACCAGAAUCCUCUAUGGACAGUUCCUGACUUGAAAAGGGCAAAGGCACAACAAUGGAAUCCACUUCUACCUAGAAUAACAUAAAUACA
rnacentral:lncRNA from 1 species